rnacentral:rRNA from 1 species
UACGUAGGGGGCAAGCGUUGUCCGGAUUUAUUGGGCGUAAAGAGCGUGUAGGCGGCCAUGUAGGUCCGUUGUGAAAACUCGAGGCUCAACCUCGAGACGCCGAUGGAAACCAUGUGGCUAGAGUCCGGAAGAGGAGUGUGGAAUUCCCGGUGUAGCGGUGAAAUGCGCAGAUAUCGGGAAGAACACCCGUGGCGAAGGCGGCACUCUGGGACGGUACUGACGCUGAGACGCGAAAGCGUGGGGAGCGAACAGG